ensembl:lncRNA
GAGAGAAGGCGGGCGAGGCAGAGCCCGGCGGCUACAAGCGGCAGCGGCGAUGGAGGGAUGGAGGGAUGGAGAGGAGGAGGAGGAAGAUGAGGAGGAGGGCUUUAAAGACACAGCAGGGAGAGGCGUGGCCACCGCCGCCGCCUCAGGUGAGCCGCGGGCCGCCCCUGGCCCCCGGGGAGGCGGCUGUCGGGAGCCCAGGACGGAAAGUGUUGUCUCCGGGAGAUGAGGCGAUUCCUCCAGGUUUUUCUUCAUUGCCAUACCUUCAGAUCAACACCUCUCAUCCAUUAAAGUGCUAUCAACAUAUGUUGAACUGGUACUUAUGUUCCAGCACAGAACACCAGCUCCAUCACAGGGAAUCAUUUUAUCUGAAAGGUGCCCUUUGAUUUCAGCCUCAUUAUUUGAAUCUAUCUAGCUUCACAGAGCUACAUACAGGAUUUCACUGGGACUGUGGGGAAAUAAGGUCUACCUAAUGCCAGGAAACUCCCUUGUGGUCUUCACCACAGCCCUGCAGAGAGCUAUGCUGGGACAUGGGCUGCUUCAAAGCUGUUCCUGAGCUCUGUCAGGGCAGCCCUGUGUGUGCAGGCACCUGCUGAAAAUCCAGGAAUGGCUGUUGCCACAGACUGCAGAACAAUUGCCCUCCAGACUGCUGCUUACAGCACUCUCGUGGGAUUUGAGAGAAAAGGCUUUAAGCAAGUCCCAGACCUCAUGCUGCCCUUUGCAGGGUAGGUGCUCCAAAUGCUAGACUAUUACUAGACAAAUGGGUGGUAGCAAUCUCACCUCAUGCUCUUCCCACUCAGAGAAGAAAAAUCAUGACUUAAGGCAUCAGGUGCUGAGUCCUGUUUUCACAAAAAUGCCUACCUACACCCAUGUUCACACGAGAAAAACAUCCCUAUCUUCAGAAUUUCUUAGCAACCGGCAAAAGUGCAUCCACAGUCAGAGUUUCUCUGAGGAGCCUGUUUUCAAUCCUCAUUCCCACUGGGGCCUUGCAUGACCUGAAGGGUGAAUAUGAUAAAGUCCAGCUGCACAAUCUGGGCUCAGGCUCUUGAGAUAGAAAGAGACAUGGUGAGAAAGCACAGUGGCUAGAAAUACACAAAAGUAAACAUCAGGCACAGACAACUUCAUUGAACUUAGGGUAAACAGCAAAUUGAGGAAAUUUCACUGGAAAAACUGUGACCUGAAAAGAUAUUAAAAUAGAAGGGGAAAACAAGGAGUCAGAAAAGCAAAGUGAAGGAUCAGCCCCUCACAAGGUGGAAUGGAGGCCUGUCCUUGGCCUCUCAAAACUCAUCCAGUGCUUUACUGGGGUGGUGGCUUGGCAGCUCCCCAGUCUUAGCAAUUUGACAAUAGUGAACUGUUUUUCAAUUUGUCCUCCAUGUGUGAUAUUCUGUGUAAACCCUGCUAUUAGUUUCCAUCUGCUUAUGGUAAAAGCUGCCUGAACAAAGUGAGAGAGUCUGGGCUGCAUAGUUAAUUGGUCUUUUCUCUCUUCCACUCAUCAGAGCUCAGGAAACUUCAGACACUGUCUCAGUCCCUCUAGACCCAACUUAGCAAUGCAGUGUAGGAUUUGCAGGACUGAGUUGCUGUGGUUUUAUUUGCAUCUGGGCCUAAUGAAAGGUGAGGGCAACAUAUGGAGAUGCAGAAUUUUUCAGGGAGAAAUGGAACAUGAUAAAGAUGAGCAGAAGUAGACUGAACCAGAUUGUAUAAUGUAGAUUUGAAAAGAUAUUUUAAGUCAUGCUUUAUAUUAUAUGACUCAUCAAUAUAUUGCUCAACAUGUAGAAUUUACAUGACACAUUUCCACAUGCUUUGAGAUAUAACUGAAACCUUGAUCCAAAAAUGCUGCCAAUUACAGGGCUCUAAAUUUAGCCUGUGGAUGUCAGAAGGGCAGUAAGAUGGGAUCAUUUAUCACAAACCAACAAAACCUCUCUGCUGACACAACCCUUUUCAACAUUCAUUGCUUUGAGAACCUCCCCUACGUAAAGAGUUUGCAGAAGGUUAGCAACACUCAACCAGAGGGAGGGAGAAGUUGUCUAUGCUAUCAUUGAAGCAUAUCACGAUGCAAUUGAACAUGAUCUGCUUUCUUAUAUUGAUAAUCCUUUUUUUAACUAAGAUACAUAUUUAGCUUUAGUACAGUAAAAAAAUUGCUUUAGAAAAAAUUAAAAAGAGAGGAAAAUAACUUUUCCAAAAGCUUUCAUGGGGAAUGAAAAUAAAAGGAUCACAUGAAUGUUAAGAGUGUCA